ensembl:misc_RNA Metazoa_SRP Metazoan signal recognition particle RNA
GCCGGGCGUGAUGUCUCACGCCUGUAAUCCCAGCACUUUAGGAGGCUGAGGUGGGUGGAUCACCUGAGGUCAGGAGUUCAAGCCUGACCAACAUGGUGAAACCCCAUCUCUA